rnacentral:rRNA from 1 species
GAUGAACGCUGGCGGCGUGCCUAAUACAUGCAAGUCGAGCGAACAGACGAGGAGCUUGCUCCUCUGACGUUAGCGGCGGACGGGUGAGUAACACGUGGAUAACCUACCUAUAAGACUGGGAUAACUUCGGGAAACCGGAGCUAAUACCGGAUAACAUGUUGGACCGCAUGGUUCAACAGUGAAAGACGGUCUUGCUGUCGCUUAUAGAUGGAUCCGCGCCGGAUUAGCUAGUUGGUAAGGUAACGGCUUACCAAGGCAACGAUGCGUAGCCGACCUGAGAGGGUGAUCGGCCACACUGGAACUGAGACACGGUCCAGACUCCUACGGGAGGCAGCAGUAGGGAAUCUUCCGCAAUGGGCGAAAGCCUGACGGAGCAACGCCGCGUGAGGGAAGAAGGUCUUCGGAUCGUAAAACUCUGUUAUUAGGGAAGAACAAAUGUGUAAGUAACUAUGCACGUCUUGACGGUACCUAAUCAGAAAGCCACGGCUAACUACGUG